rnacentral:lncRNA from 1 species
CCAGAUUUAAAGAGGAGAUACAAUUAAACCAACCAUGGAAGAUUCCAGAUUUAAAGGGGAGAUACAAUGAAACCAACCAUGGAAGUAUAUUGUAGUGAAUUCGGUGGGUAGCCCCAACCAAGAUUAGAACCCGGGUUUAGCAACUAUCAAGCCAACACCUUAACUGUUCCGCCAAGUUCAGUAUUUACGCUAUUGGUUAUGGUGAGCAGUGGAGAGAAUCUUCCUCUUAACGGACCAUAAACCUAAUCAAUCGAUCAGAUGACUCUAUCCCUGUUCCUCUGCAGCAGAGGUCCUCCCAGUCUAUUGAUCGAUCAAUCAAUCAACCGAUGGAUCAGAUGCCUCAAUCUCCGUUUCUCUGUAAAAGAGGUCCUCCCAGUCCAGAGCUGCUGCUCUGCCGCCAUCUGGUGGCGUGAAGUGGUGUUGCAACAAGAUAAGUACAGUAAUGCAGACCAGACAGAACCUAUUGGUCCCAAAUGACACCCUAUUCCUUACAUAGUGGAACUACAUGCCCUGGUCAAAGUAGUGUACUAUGUAGGGAAUUCAUUAGGGUUGGAACUAGGGUACUAUGUAGGGAAUUCAUUUGGGUUGGAACUAGGGUACUAUGUAGGGAAUUCAUUAGGGUUGGAACUAGGGCACUAUGUAGGGAAUUAAUUUGGGUUGGAACUAGUGCACUAUGUAGGGAAUUAAUUUGGGUUGGAACUAGGGCACUAUAUAGGGAAUUCAUUAGGGUUGGAACUAGUGCACUAUGUAGGGAAUUCAUUAGGGUUGGAACUAGGGUACUAUGUAGGGAAUUCAUUAGGGUUGGAACUAGGGCACUAUGUAGAGAAUUCAUUAGGGUUGGAACUAGGGCACUAUGUAGGGAAUUCAUUAGGGUUGGAACUAGUGCACUAUGUAGGGAAUUAAUUUGGGUUGGAACUAGGGCACUAUAUAGGGAAUUCAUUAGGGUUGGAACUAGGGCACUAUGUAGGGAAUUAAUUUGGGUUGGAACUAGGGUACUAUGUAGGGAAUUUAUUAGGGUGGUAUUUGGGUUGGAACUAGGGCACUAUGUAGGGAAUUCAUUAGGGUUGGAACUAGUGCACUAUGUAGGGAAUUCAUUAGGGUUGGAACUAGGGUACUAUGUAGGGAAUUCAUUUGGGUUGGAACGAGGGCACUAUUUAGGGAAUUCACUAGGGUUGGAACGAGGGCACUAUUUAGGGAAUUCACUAGGGUUGGAACUAGUGCACUAUGUAGGGAAUUCAUUUGGGUUGGAACUAGGGCACUAUGUAGGGAAUUAAUUUGGGUUGGAACUAGGGCACUAUGUAGGGAAUUCAUUAGGGUGGUAUUUGGGUUGGAACUAGGGCACUAUGUAGGGAAUUCAUUAUGGUGGUAUUUGCCUUGAUGACAGCUUUGCACACUCAAGUGCAGUCGUGAAAACCAUCAAGCACUAUGAUGAAACUGGCUCUCAUGAGGACCACCACAGGAAAAGAGCCAGAGUUACCUCUGCUGCACAGGAUACGUUUAUUAGAGUUAACUGCACCUCAGACUGCAGUGCAAAUAAAUGCUUCACAGAGUUCAAGUAACAGACACAUCUCAACAUCAACUGUUCAGAGGAGACUGUGUGAAUCAGGCCUUCAUGGUCGAAUUGCUGCAAAGAAACCACUACUAAAGGACACCAAUAAGAAGAAGAGACUUGCUUGGGCCAAGAAACAUGACCAAUGGACAUUAGAUCGGUGGAAAUCUGUCCUUAAGUCUGAUGAGUUCAAGUUUGAGAUUUUUGGUUCCAACCGCUGUGUCUUUGUGAGUUGCAGAAUAGGUGAACGGAUGAUCUCUGUAUGUGUGGUUCCCACCAUGAAGCAUGGAGGAGGAGGUGUGAUGGUGUGGGGGUGGUUUGCUGGUGACACUGACAAUGACCCAACACACCUCCAGGCUCUGUAAGGGCUAUUUGACCAAGAAGGAGAGUGAUAGAGUGCUGCAUCAGAUGACCUGCCUUCCACAAUCCCCCGACCUCAACCAAAUUGAGAUGGUUUGGGGUGACUUGGACCGCGGAGUGAAGGAAAAGUAGCCAACAAGUGCUCAGCAAAUGUGGGAACUCCUUCAAAACUGUUGGAAAAGCAUUCCAGGGGAAGCUGCUUGAGAUAAACCCAAGAGUGUGCAAAAGAAUCAAGAAGAAUCAAAAAUAUAUUUUGAUUUGUUUAACACUUUUUUGGUUACUACAUGAUUCCAUUUGUGUUAUUUCAUAGUUUGUAGGUGUUUUAGAAAAUAGUAAAAAUAAAGAAAAACCCCUGAAUGAGUAGGUGUGUCCAAACUUUUGACUGGUACUGUAUAUGUAACCUUUUCACAAUUGAGCUAAUCUAAAGACAAAUGGGAAAUACAUUAAACUUGAACUUGAAAACCAGAAGGACAAAAAAAAGAG